rnacentral:rRNA from 1 species
GGGUGCGAGCGUUAAUCGGAAUUACUGGGCGUAAAGCGUACGCAGGCGGUUUGUUAAGCGAGAUGUGAAAGCCCCGGGCUCAACCUGGGAACUGCAUUUCGAACUGGCAAACUAGAGUGUGAUAGAGGGUGGUAGAAUUUCAGGUGUAGCGGUGAAAUGCGUAGAGAUCUGAAGGAAUACCGAUGGCGAAGGCAGCCACCUGGGUCAACACUGACGCUCAUGUACGAAAGCGUGGGGAGCAAACAGGAUUAGAUACCCUGGUAGUCCACGCCGUAAACGAUGUCUACUAGAAGCUCGGAACCUCGGUUCUGUUUUUCAAAGCUAACGCAUUAAGUAGACCGCCUGGGGAGUACGGCCGCAAGGUUAAAACUCAAAUGAAUUGACGGGGGCCCGCACAAGCGGUGGAGCAUGUGGUUUAAUUCGAUGCAACGCGAAGAACCUUACCUACACUUGACAUACAGAGAACUUACCAGAGAUGGUUU